GCGGUUGUCGUUCAGUUGGUAGGAUAUUCCCUUGUCACGGGAAAGAUCGCGGGUUCGAGUCCCGUCAAUCGCGCCA
rnacentral:tRNA from 1 species